rnacentral:lncRNA from 1 species
CUGCCUUAUACUUGCCACGAGUUGGGCUCAACACAGGAGGCAAACUAGGAGAACCACCAAUCACGACAUCAUCAACUAUAACAACAUCAUCAAAAUUCAUAUCUUUGUGGUCCACAAAAAUAUGAAAGUAUUGAAAUUUAGGAACAACAACAAUCAUAUGCAUUGUGUCAACAUCUCGGUCUAUAAUGCGGAGUCCUGAUCCGAGAUGCUUUCCAGGGAGAAGCCAGUACAAAGUAUACUUGUCUCGAUCACGAUAACCUAGCUACUCCAUGAAAUCUAUCAGCCACAAAGGUGACCAAGUAUCUGCUUCACAGCCAUCAAAUUUUGCUUGCUUGC